CCCGUUUGAAUCAUAACAAAUAUCAGCAGAGUUUGAAGUCGUACGUCGUCUGAAUUGGUGAAGAUUUGGUACGUCGUCUGAAUUGGUGAAGAUUUGUCGUAUUUCUAACAAGAUGAGUGACUGCGACUUCUCUACUGACUAUAGCCAAGGAGAUCUGAGAUUUGAAAAGUAUAGCAAUGAUGGCCCGACCACCUGUAAUAAAUGGAUGAUAUUAGGAGGUGUUAUCUCUGUGCUGACAGUGAUAAUAAUAAUUGUGGCAGUUAAGAUGGACUGGUGAACAUUAAUGGAUCAAGACACCAUCAUGUUGAAUCUUCAGCUAAAUUAGUUCAGUGACUGCCAUAACAUUUUAUCAGUUGCGUCUCAUUAUGAACAUUUUCUUACAAUCGGAAUCAGUAUAUAUGAAUAUAUGAAACACUUUACAAGAUUUGUUUGAGCAGCUUAAUAUUAAUGGUUACAAUUUUUAGAAGUAACAUAAAUAAAAUGUUUCUGUUUUUAUUUAUAUUUAGUGUAGUGUUAUCCACAUUAUUAAACUAAUUGACAAUACUAUAUAUUUGGGCAAAACAGCUUGGCAUAAAUAAUUUUUUUUGAACUAGGACAUUUGUAAUUAUAUCUAGUAUAAAUUUGAGCCAUAUUGAUGUUAAUUAAAACACUCUUCAUGUAAUUAAAAAAAAACAUUGCUCACCAAAAGCAAGAUAAUAAAUUGGAAACAGACUUGAUACUGGCCAUACAUUAGCAGUAUAAAAAUAGCCGAUAUAUAUAUGGUUAUUUCUGUAUCACAAGAUUGUAACUCCAUGAACUCCAAAGAAAUGAUCCACACAUGAAAUGGAUGAAGCGGAAUACAUGUAUAAAGACCGUCCCCAAAAUAUACAGACACAGUUUUAGAUAAUAUGCAAGUAGAGAUGCACUGUAGCCACAUGGAGUAUUAUGAUUUAUAACUUACAUAUUCCGUCCUGUCUACCUUUAUUAGGAAUUCGAUUUUCAUAGAUAGCCAAAUUCUAUACAUAUAUAUACAUUUGUUUCCCUUAGUUUUGUUUUUCUUUUUUCUCUGUAAACAUUUUAUUGUUUUCUUUUAUCAGAAUAAGAGAUUUAUUUUCUGAAUGGAUGCAAUAAAGAUUCUAUUCUAUAUAUG